AUUGAACGCUGGCGGCAGGCCUAACACAUGCAAGUCGAGCGGAUGAAGGGAGCUUGCUCCUGGAUUCAGCGGCGGACGGGUGAGUAAUGCCUAGGAAUCUGCCUGGUAGUGGGGGAUAACGUCCGGAAACGGGCGCUAAUACCGCAUACGUCCUGAGGGAGAAAGUGGGGGAUCUUCGGACCUCACGCUAUCAGAUGAGCCUAGGUCGGAUUAGCUAGUUGGUGGGGUAAAGGCCUACCAAGGCGACGAUCCGUAACUGGUCUGAGAGGAUGAUCAGUCACACUGGAACUGAGACACGGUCCAGACUCCUACGGGAGGCAGCAGUGGGGAAUAUUGGACACUGGGCGAAAGCCUGAUCCAGCCAUGCCGCGUGUGUGAAGAAGGUCUUCGGAUUGUAAAGCACUUUAAGUUGGGAGGAAGGGCAGUAAGUUAAUACCUUGCUGUUUUGACGUUACCAACAGAAUAAGCACCGGCUAACUUUGUG
rnacentral:rRNA from 1 species